CGGGUUGCUGCACCAGGCGCGAAAACUUUACAAUGCGGGAAACCGUGAUAAGGGAACCCCGAGUGCCCGUAAAUUCGGGCUGUCCAUCAGCGUAAAUAACUGGUGAAGAAAGGGCCGGGCAAGACCGGUGCCAGCCGCCGCGGUAAUACCGGCGGCUCGAGGGGUGGCCACUAUUACUGGGCUUAAAGCGUCCGUAGCUUGGUUGUUAAGUCUCUUGGGAAAUCUACCGGCUCAACCGGUAGGCGUUCAAGAGAUACUGGCAACCUAGGGACCGGGAGAGGUGAGAGGUACUCCAGGGGUAGGAGUGAAAUCCUGUAAUCCUUGGGGGACCACCUGUGGCGAAGGCGUCUCACUAGAACGGCUCCGACAGUGAGGGACGAAAGCUGGGGGAGCAAACCGGAUUAGAUACCCGUGUAGUC
rnacentral:rRNA from 1 species